UCCUAUCUAUGGCUCUGGCGACCACCUGUUUGAGUGUAAGUGACUACGGCUUUAAGGAUAGAACUGUCCUAGUUAGAUGAAAAUGCCUUAUUUGUCUUUGAGAAAUACAACGACUCAAGUUAGUUCAAAGUAUUUAAAUCUUAAGGAAUUAACAGAGAAGUCCAAAGUGACUUACCGACAAGGACCACUUGUCCGAAAUAAAAUACAAGACUAUGAAUCUUUAAACAGGUGAAGGGCAUUGGGGCUCAUGUUGGUAUCUCUUUGGUUACUUACAGGAUAAAACCUUGCGAGUUUGCGCGUAUCCAGUCAGCGACACGCGACACCGAGACUGAAUCCGAGGGAACUACGAGUACUUUGGCGUCGCCCCUAAGAACCCCCAUGGACAAACCUCAGAAAAGUGAUUCUGGUCUGUUUAAGAAUCUUUUCCACAAGUUAUUGUAAAAGUUUCUUCCAUCUAGCCCAAUUGUUUUUGGGCUAAAACUCUGCUCUCCGUGUGCAGUCGAGCAGAGUGAGGAGACCUUGAAGAAGCGGAAUGCAGAGAAAUCCCUCUCCAUUAUGGACUACUAUCAGCACGAUGUGUUCUCGCACCUGGAGACGGACGCCAGGAGGAUUUCCCAGUACAGUUUGCUGCACAAAGAGUCGUCCCUCGAUGGAAAAGCAGGAGACAGGCUCAGCAAAGAGGUUCCCGGCAGUCCGAACCAGCCGGCCUCCCUGGACGCCUCCCUGGAAUCCUUGAGCAAGAUGACUAACGGCAGCCCCGCAGAGACGGGGAAGACCGCAGAGAGCUGCUGCAAGGUCAGCCGCUCCUCCCGCGCCUCCAGCUUCACGGGCAGGCCCGGGGCGGACCCCGCCGGCUCCCUCAGCGACUCGCUCUACGACAGUUUCUCCUCCUGCACCAGUCAGGGCUCCAACGACGUGUGAGGAUGGAAAAACCAGUAACCCAGGUGGUCCGCACAGGCCGCACAGACAGUACAAGGUUGCUUACCCACAAUGCCCACUUUGGAAAAUUGUUCUAUGCCGGAAAAGUCUAUAUUUUUGCAACAAUUUUAAACCAGCAAAGUUAAAAAAAAAAAAGGGUAUCAGAGCCAAAACCAACAGUUUUAUCCCUCCUAGUUGCAUCUUGGAUGAAAUAUUUUAUAUAUUUUGGGCUCAAAAACUUCUAUUUAUACCAUUAAUUAUUUGUACAAAAUUACCUUUUUUUUUUUUUUUUUUUACGCUAGAAUUUCUGCAAUUUGUUCCAUUUAAAAUUAUUUAAAAUUUUACUAAACUCAAAAAUUUAACUUAAUGAAAAAUAUUUUUAAAUGUAACAACUUAUAGAAAUUUUGGCUAAUUGAUCCAACAUCUUACAGUUUAUCUAAAAACUGACAAAAACAUUUGAACGUUUUGACAGAAAAUACGAUAAAACGUUUGAUUUUUUUCAAAAAUGUCAAAAUAAAUAAAAAAAAAACACUCUGGAGCCCCCCUCCCCUCCCCCUCCUACCUCGUAGUUCAUUUACUGAGAAAUAUUCAAAUAUUCUGCAGGUUUCCUUGGUUUGUAGAAAUGUAAAUAACACUCCGGGUCAGCUCGGUGGAUCUCUGGUUUUCGCUACGCAAAAAGCACUUAGCGGAGCCGAAGGCGCAACCAAAAGCCGAAAAUGUGGGCGGGACUGGAAAGCAAUACUCACACACUUUUGUUUCCUUGACAUUUUGGGUCAAAAAUGCUUCCUAUGAUUGCACUCUAAUAAAUACUGUACAGGACUGUAAAUAAUAAUAAUAAAAAAAUAAUAAUAUUAUUCAAACUGAUCAGCAGAGACAGCAAAGCUGCUGCUUGAAAAAUCUCCAUUGACAUUGAAAGUUGGAUGUGUUGCUGCAGUACUAUGCAGUACUAUAAGAAAAAAUGCAGCAAUAAUGUCGGAUUGCAGCUUUUCUGCUUUUUUUACAUACAAGAAAAACGUAAACAAAAUUUUAGAAAGUCCGUAAAUUGUAUUUUUGAUACGUCCAAAUUCCCUCACUACGCUGUAAAAAAUUGAAAUGUUGGAUCAAAUUUGUUACAUUUUAAAUAGUUAGUUUUCAUCAAAUUAAACGUUUACUCGACUCAAACAUUUGUUUAAAGCUCAUAUUUUUAAAAGCUUUUGUUAAUUGAUCUAACUUUCAAAUUUUUGCAUAUAGUGCGUUUGCCAUUAUGUAGUGCUGUCCGAAUCUACAAUUUCAAAAUCGAGAAAUUUCCCAGAAGUCUUUGCGAAAAACUAGCAUUCAUCGAUGCUCACUACAUUGGCGAAUAUAGACCACAAUGCAUUGCGUUUGAACAAUUUUCGCAGGUUAAAAAUAAGCAUUUAGAUGUAAUCUUUUAACAUUUCCAUAAUCAAAACACAAUGGAUUCAUAAAUAGACAUUUUAUAAUGUUUAAAAUUCUCAAUUUGUGAAAUCAAUGACGUCAAUAAAAUAAAGUAGUGAGCAUGCACUGUAAAAAGUGAAACGUUGGAUCAAUUCAUUUUUAUCAAAUUACACUUUUUGAGUUGAGUGAACCAUCAACUCAAAUUUUUGAUUUGAUGGAAACUAAACAUUUUAAAUGUAAUGAAUUGUAGAGCUUUUGUUAAUAGAUCCAAUGUUUCAAUUUUUGUGGUCUGAAUUACUUUUAAAAUCCAGAGCACUACAUUGUCCCGCACUAUAUAGUAUUUAUUAAAGGUUAGGGAGGGAAUUCUGACAUAUCCUAUGACACUUUUUCGCAACAAAUUAUUAUUUUGUUUUUUAUUUUUAAGUACAAACAAAAUUUUUGCAAGUUAAAAACAGUUGCGGAGGUCGUGAAACUGCUAACAAUUGGCUUUUCUUUAAAGACCCACUCCCAUUAUGUUUUCAUGUGUUUUUCAAAGCGUCCCCAGCGGUCUUUUAUUUAUAAUGACGCAGUUUUUAGCCAAAAUCGGUUGAAAUUGAAGUUUUCUAAGACAUAGUUUCUGCAGGGCGACAGCCAUUAAUUAGAAAUUCGCCUCCGAGUUGUUGUGACGAGCAACCCCGCCCCCACUUCCUGUCACCUGUAAGUGAGAGAUCUCGGUUUAAACACUCUCACAAGAACAUGUUAAAACAGAGGUCUCAAAGUGGCGGCCCGCGGGCCAUUUGCGGCCCCCAAGUCAAUAUUUGUUGCCCCCGCCUUGACAUGAAAGUUCGACGUCUACUGAGCAAUCUCUUCUGCGUGCUUUAAACUUUGCAUUUGCGAUUGUCGUUGGAUCCAGUCGUCAGAAAAGUCCUUAGCAACAGUUGCUAGCGUCGUUAGCUCCUGUCGUUUCAAAGGAAGUUAUUGCUCAGUAGCACAUAGACAUGAACAAAUAUUACAUAGAGUGGGUCUUUAAAUAAAAUGGUUCAUGAAAAGUAUCGUUGAUUUGGCUGACUUGGCUUUUUUUUUACCCCGUUUUCCGUGAAAGUAGCGUUAGCUUACAAAGCUACUACACAAUAAUUGCUGGUAUGUAGCUAUUAAAAAAUUAAAAACAUGAAUUAUUUUGAGCCAGGGUUAGAUUUUUGUGUUUUUUCCUGCUUUGUAUGAAAGUUGCAGCAAUUAUCAUUAAAAAAAAAAAAAAAAAAAAAAAACACAAACUAUUCCAAGAAAGCUUAUGUUAGCAUGUUUUAUCGCAGGAAAAAAAAUGUUGUAUUUUUGUUGUAUUUUUCGUUUCUGGAAAAGUCUUCCUUUGCGAUCUGACUUAUAGGUACCGCACUAAUAGCUCAGGGAACAUACCGGACUCGCAACGAUUGUACGUAUGAAAGCCACAAACGUUGGCCAAAUUACUCUCAAUAAUACAGCUUUUUUUUUUUUAUUUCCUGUCAACGUUUUGCGAACUGUUUAUACUUAAGUCUCGUGUAGCAUCGCAGCAACUCUGACCUCUUCCUGUUCCUCUCAUAACUGUAAAUUAUCUUGUACAUAAAGAUCACUAUAAGUUAAUAUCAGAAUGGGCAUUGUUGAUUUCUGUAUGCAAAUAAGAAAAAAAAAAGAUAACAAUAAUGCAAACCAUUCAAUUAAGAUUUUAAGUCUACUGUGUCAUUGUGUAUCUGUUAAAAACUUCUUGUUUAAAGAAAAUGUUAUUUUGAUCAGAGACAGCUCAAAUAUUUUCUUUUUUUAUUUUGUAUUUGAACUUGGAAUUAUGCCAAAUUUCUACCUGGAAUUUGACCAGCUGGUGCUAAUCGACAGAGCCAACUGCUUGUUUUUUUUUUUUUUUCUAUAAAACUGUUCAUAUUGUAUGAAAAGAGGACUUGUGUAUUUUUCUAGGUGUCCAGUAUUUAUACCCACAUUUUUGUACUGUCAGACCUUAGGGUGAUUUUUCAUACUUCACCUUUUUUUUUCCUUAACUGUACCUGCUUCCUUUGUAAAGAGAAAAAUGGUUGCCAACAGUGUUAUGUUUGGUAAUUAUUAUUAAUAUUAUUAUUAUUAUUAUUAUUGCUGUGUGCAAUUUGUCUGUUACACUACUUCAUUGCUAUUUUUUGUGUAACUAUUUCCUAAAUAAAAAUGAGAAAUUAUGUCC
ensembl:lncRNA